UACGGGGGGGGCAAGCGUUGUCCGGAUUUAUUGGGCGUAAAGAGCGUGUAGGCGGCCAGGUAGGUCCGUUGUGAAAACUCGAGGCUCAACCUCGAGACGUCGGCGGAAACCCUCUGGCUAGAGUCCGGAAGAGGAGAGUGGAAUUCCUGGUGUAGCGGUGAAAUGCGCAGAUAUCAGGAAGAACACCCGUGGCGAAGGCGGCUCUCUGGGACGGUACUGACGCUGAGACGCGAAAGCGUGGGGAGCAAACAGG
rnacentral:rRNA from 1 species